UUGUGGCGUUUUCAGGUAAGGGGGCGUGGCCAGAGGGAGUAAUGGUCUGGUGACAAGGUGACAUGACCUUUGACCUUCCGCUACAAUAAACGCUGUCAGGGCAAGAACAACUUGUUUUCCUAGAGGUUGGAACGUCUCAGCUACUUAAAAACAGCCAGCCCCUGCACAUUCUAUUCGCUGCCAAAGUCUGUAGUCAAAAUUAGCAGCUUGGGCCUAUAAAAAAAAAUAAAAGAUUUUGAACAGAUUUGGGUCAGAGAUAAUAAAAAUCCUGGCAGAGAUAAUAAAACUCCUGGCAGAGGAAAUAAAAAUCCUGGCAUGGAGAUCUUUGUACAUUUCAUUCUCUCCUUUUUUCUUUGUGUUUUCACUUUCUAAGAAGUUUUGUAGAAACUAUGGAUUCUGCCGUUGAGAAACACCGUGUGGAACUUGUUGCCCUUGAGCGAAGUGGUCACACAGCUGUAUUAGAGGGAAAUACUCUGCACGUCUGGGGAGGCUACAUGUCAACCGCUGAGGGUGAAGUGUUCCUUCCCAGUGAUGAAAUCUGGUUGUAUGACUUAGAAAGAGGUGUAUGGGAAAUGUGUCAAAUGUCAGGAGAGAUCCCGCCCCCCAUGUCAGGCACCUGCAGCUGCUUUCUAAUUGGCCACAUGUACAUAUUCGGAGGAUAUGAUGACACGGGACAGACCAAUCAGCUUUACCGUGUCAACCUCCUGGAUGGGGACUACAGAUGGAAGAAAGUGAAAGCUGAGAGUGGCUCUCCUCCUUCACCCAGAGAUAAGCUGUGCUGCUGGGUUUUCAACAACAGGGUCACCUACUUUGGUGGAUAUGGUCACAAGACACUUGAUGACAUCAUGGAUGACAAAAGCUUCAUCGUGGACACGGCAUCAUUGGAGCAGAACGUUGGUUGGGGAUGGAACAAUGAAGUCCACGUUUUUGAUACAACACUAGCCAGCUGGAGGGAACCACAGAGCUCUGUAAGAGAGACACACACUGUAUGAUUACAUCACAACAUAACUUCACUGUGUGGAACUUAGUUAGCUUGAAAUGUCGCUGAUGGAGCUAUCCAAUCGGUACCUGUUGUAUAACUCAAUCCGUUCCUACAUUGUCAAGCUGGUGGUUGUGUGUGUUGGUGACAUAGAGGACCCUGGUUCAAGUCCAGUCAGAGGAGAGGUAGAGGAACCUGGUUCAAGCCCAGUCAGAGGAGAGGUAGAGGACCCUGGUUCAAGUCCAGUCAGAGGAGAGGUAGAGGACCCUGGUUCAAGCCCAGUCAGAGGAGAGGUAGAGGACCCUGGUUCAAGCCCAGUCAGAGGAGAGGUAGAGGACCCUGGUUCAAGCCCAGUCAGAGGAGAGGUAGAGGACCCUGGUUCAAGCCCAGUCAGAGGAGAGGUAGAGGACCCUGGUUCAAGCCCAGUCAGAGGAGAGAUAGAGGACCCUGGUUCAAGCCCAGUCAGAGGAGAGGUAGAGGACCCUGGUUCAAGCCCAGUCAGAGGAGAGGUAGAGGACUCUGGUUCAAGCCCAGUCAGAGGAGAGGUAGAGGACCCUGGUUCAAGCCCAGUCAGAGGAGAGGUAGAGGACUCUGGUUCAAGCCCAGUCAGAGGAGAGGUAGAGGAACCUGGUUCAAGCCCAGUCAGAGGAGAGGUAGAGGACCCUGGUUCAAGCCCAGUCAGAGGAGAGGUAGAGGACCCUGGUUCAAGCCCAGUCAGAGGAGAGGUAGAGGACCCUGGUUCAAGCCCAGUCAGAGGAGAGGUAGAGGACCCUGGUUCAAGUCCAGUCAGAGGAGAGGUAGAGGACCCUGGUUCAAGCCCAGUCAGAGGAGAGGUAGAGGACCCUGAACUAAUUCAUUAUUUGCACACAAACAGCCAAGCAACAAUUUGUCCUUCUGUACCUGUACUGUAAGUAGCUCUUUCUGACGACAGGGUCGUGCUCCUGCCCCCAGAGCUGCCCAUGCAGGUGCAACACUUGGUCAUAAAGGGUAUGUCUAUGGGGGCAGAUUACU